rnacentral:lncRNA from 10 species
CAGGCAGAGGGAAUAGCUACUGCACAGGCCUGGAGGAGGAUGUGUGCCUGUGGAGUGUCAGGAGCAGAGACACAUCUGGACACCAGGCUAGAGCAGCAGAUGCCACAAACUUCUACUGUGAAGGAUGAGACCACGUGCAGGUGACCCUGCCAGUGCACAGAGCUCCCCAGCUGCACUGCCCACCCGAUCUGCAGGCAGUGCCAAAGGCCACCUGGAAGACAGCCUGCCAAGGAGCACUCUUUAUGUCCCUCUGAAGGAAAUAUCUGCUCCCAAGGAAAGCCCACCUGCAAUGUCGUCCCCUAAAAUAAAACAAGCCUCAGUGCCCUGCCUCUCUGGGUACCACUGUUCUGCUUCACAUAGACAACCAAUUUCAGAUACGGGUCAGAAAGAGGCCAGGGUGAUCUUUAUUUUAUUAUUUCAAAGACACGGGGUUUCACUAUGCUGCCCAGGCUGGAGUGCAGUGGUUAGUCACAGGAGUGAUCAUGGCUCACUGCAGCUUCAAACUCUUGGGCUCCAGUAAUCUUCC